CUCCGGCAGGAUCGACCGGAUGAUGCCCCGGAAGCCCGGGCGGGCCGUCGCUGCGUCACGCUGCUCGCCCGCGGGCGCCCGCCCUUGCGCGCACGUCUUGGCGCCGGGUUGCCAGCGGUGUCCGGCUAGCAGGGACCGCCGCGGGGGGUGCAACCGUUGUCCUGAGCCGUCCGCCGCGUCCCGGGUGAGCGGGCAUGCAUGGCUUCUUCCUUGGGGA
rnacentral:rRNA from 1 species